rnacentral:rRNA from 1 species
CAAGUCGAACGGAGAUUUCAGCAAUGAAAUCUUAGUGGCGAACGAGUGAGUAACGCGUAGACAACCUACCUUCGAGAUGGGGACAACACUGCGAAAGUGGUGCUAAUACCGAAUGUUGUACUUUGGUUGCAUAACCGAGGUACUAAAGAUGGCCUCUAUUUAUAAGCUAUCGCUAGAAGAUGGGUCUGCGUCUGAUUAGCUAGUUGGUGAGGUAAUGGCUCACCAAGGCGACGAUCAGUAGCCGGUCUGAGAGGAUGAACGGCCACACUGGGACUGAGACACGGCCCAGACUCCUACGGGAGGCAGCAGUGGGGAAUCUUCCGCAAUGGACGCAAGUCUGACGGAGCAACGCCGCGUGAGUGAAGAAGGUUUUCGGAUCGUAAAACUCUGUUUUCAGGGACGAAUGUGCAGAAUGUAAAUAAUGUUUUGUAAUGACGGUACCUGAGUAGAAAGCCACGGCUAACUACGUGCCAGCAGCCGCGGUAAUACGUAGGUGGCAAGCGUUGUCCGGAAUUAUUGGGCGUAAAGCGCGCGCAGGUGGGAUAUUAAGUCUGGUGUUAAAGUUCGGGGCUCAACCCCGUGAAGCAUUUGGAAACUGAUAUUCUUGAGUGCAGGAGAGGAAAGUGGAAUUCCUAGUGUAGCGGUGAAAUGCGUAGAUAUUAGGAGGAACACCAGUGGCGAAGGCGACUUUCUGGACUGUGUCUGACACUGAGGCGCGAAAGCUAGGGUAGUGAACAGGAUUAGAUACCCUGGUAAUCCUAGCUGUAAACGAUGGGUACUAGGUGUUGGGGGUAUCGACCCCUCCAGUGCCGGAGUUAACGCAAUAAGUACCCCGCCUGGGGAGUACGGUCGCAAGGUUGAAACUCAAAGGAAUUGACGG